rnacentral:rRNA from 1 species
UACAGAGGGGGCAAGCGUUGUUCGGAAUUACUGGGCGUAAAGGGCGCGUAGGCGGCCUCUUAAGUCGGACGUGAAAUCCCCGGGCUCAACCCGGGAACUGCGUCCGAUACUGGGGGGCUUGAAUCCGGGAGAGGGAUGUGGAAUUCCAGGUGUAGCGGUGAAAUGCGUAGAUAUCUGGAGGAACACCGGUGGCGAAGGCGGCAUCCUGGACCGGUAUUGACGCUGAGGCGCGAAAGCCAGGGGAGCAAACGGG